rnacentral:rRNA from 1 species
AUUGAACGCUGGCGGCAUGCUUUACACAUGCAAGUCGAACGGUAACAGGCCGCAAGGUGCUGACGAGUGGCGAACGGGUGAGUAAUGCAUCGGAACGUGCCCAGUCGUGGGGGAUAACUACUCGAAAGAGUAGCUAAUACCGCAUACGAUCUAUGGAUGAAAGCGGGGGACCGUAAGGCCUCGCGCGAUUGGAGCGGCCGAUGUCAGAUUCGGUAGUUGGUGGGGUAAAGGCUCACCAAGCCAACGAUCUGUAGCUGGUCUGAGAGGACGACCGGCCACACUGGGACUGAGACACGGCCCAGACUCCUACGGGAGGCAGCAGUGGGGAAUUUUGGACAAUGGGCGCAAGCCUGAUCCAGCAAUGCCGCGUGCAGGAAGAAGGCCUUCGGGUUGUAAACUGCUUUUGUACGGAACGAAACGGCUCUGGUUAAUACCCGGGGCUAAUGACGGUACCGUAAGAAUAAGCACCGGCUAACUACGUG